rnacentral:rRNA from 1 species
AUUGAACGCUGGCGGCAUGCCUUACACAUGCAAGUCGAACGGUAACGGGUCCUUCGGGAUGCCGACGAGUGGCGAACGGGUGAGUAAUAUAUCGGAACGUGCCCAGUAGUGGGGGAUAACUGCUCGAAAGAGCAGCUAAUACCGCAUACGACCUGAGGGUGAAAGGGGGGGAUCGCAAGACCUCUCGCUAUUGGAGCGUCCGAUAGCAGAUUAGCUAGUUGGUGGGGUAAAGGCCUACCAAGGCAACGAUCUGUAGUUGGUCUGAGGGGACGACCAGCCACACUGGGACUGAGACACGGCCCAGACUCCUACGGGAGGCAGCAGUGGGGAAUUUUGGACAAUGGGCGCAAGCCUGAUCCAGCAAUGCCGCGUGCAGGAAGAAGGCCUUCGGGUUGUAAACUGCUUUUGUCAGGGAAGAAAUCUUCUGGGCUAAUACCCCGGGAGGAUGACGGUACCUGAAGAAUAAGCACCGGCUAACUACGUGCCAGCCGCCGCAGUAA